rnacentral:pre_miRNA from 1 species
AAUGUUACAAUUUUAUUUUGUGACCGACACUAACGGGUAAAAUUAAACGGAUAAAUAUUUUCCUUUUUCUGAAUUUUUAUUUUCAAAAUUUACUCGUUUUUGCGAUCACAAAUUAUGAAAUUGUAAUUA